GAGUCCCGUUCUACGUGUCAAUCCUGACAACAAUGAAAUUUAUAGUAAGAGGAAAAUCCGUCGACUUUAAAAAUCGUGAGGGUUCAAGUCCCUCUAUCCCCAAAAAAGAUCCUUUGAUUCUCUAACUAAUUAUCCUCUUUUUUUGUUAACGAUUCAAAUAAAAAUUGGGUCUCUUCCUCAUUUACUCUUCUUUCACAAAGGUAUCCGAGCAGAAAAGUUUUUCUCUUAUCACAAGUCUUGUGAUGUAUGAUGUAAAUGAGACAUGAGCAGCUUUGAGCAAGGAGUACUCUUACUCAUUUGAAUGAUUCCCAAUACAUAUCAUUACUCAUACUAAGACUUACAAAAAAAGUCUUCUUUUUAA
rnacentral:misc_RNA from 1 species